UACGUAGGGGGCAAGCGUUGUCCGGAGUUACUGGGCGUAAAGCGCACGCAGGCGGUCUGCUAAGUUUGGAGUGACAGUUGGUGGCUCAACUACCAAAGUGCUUUGAAAACUGACAGACUUGAGGGCUUCAGAGGGACACGGAAUUCCGGGUGGAGUGGUGGAAAUGCGUAGAGAGUCCGGAGGAACACCAAAGACGAAAGGCAGCUCUCUGGGUCCCUACCGACGCUGGGGUGCGA
rnacentral:rRNA from 1 species